rnacentral:rRNA from 1 species
UACGUAGGGGGCUAGCGUUGUCCGGAAUCAUUGGGCGUAAAGAGCGUGUAGGCGGUCCGGUAAGUCCGUUGUGAAAGUCAGGGGGCUCAACCCUUGAAUGCCGGCGGAUACUGUCGGGCUAGAGUCCGGAAGAGGCGAGUGGAAUUCCCGGUGUAGCGGUGAAAUGCGCAGAUAUCAGGAGGAACACCGGUGGCGAAGGCGGGGUCUCUGGGCCGAUACUGACGCUGAGGAGCGAAAGCGUGGGGGAGCGAACAGG